rnacentral:piRNA from 1 species
CAGGGAAUUAAUGGGUACUAAAUGGU